AUGAUACAUCUACCUAUAAAUAUACAACAUUGUUGUUAUAUAACUGUACUAUUUUAUCUGUUUUGAUAGUUAAUCUAUCUGUUAAUUUAUGUUUAAUAUGACAGGUGUUUAUUUAAUUCAUGGUCAGGAGCAAAACUUUAAAUUCAUCCUUGGAAUCUUCCAGCUUUUUGUUUUUUUCAAAAUAAUCUUCUUUGAACCUCAUACACUUUUGUAAGCAUUGUACCCAUGCGUUAAAAGUGUCUUAGUUGAAAUCAUUUUUCAACAGCAUGAAAAGUGUUGUCAUUGUGGCUAAUACAGUGCAGCCAAUAGUCACUGCCAUAGGUGCUUAGGUUCUGUCACAUUGUUGUAUUCCUCAAAUUAGCAUCUUGUAAUUCUUUUCCUCUUUCCAUGUCUGAAGAGAGCUUUGAAAGAGAAAUAUUUUGCAUCUAACAAUGAAGUUUGCAGAGCCACAACAGCACUUUGCAUGCUUUUAUAGAAUGGCUUCAAAUAAGCUUUUGAUGCAUGAGUACAACACUGGAAAUGUGUGAAGUUCAACAGAGUAUUUUGAGAAAGGCCAAUGGCCAGAAGAUUUUGAAGAUAACAUUUAAGGUAAGUCUUCACUCCUGUCCACAAAUUAAAUCACCAUCCUUUGUACAUUUUAAAUUAAAAUAUUUAUUGUCCACUGAACCAUUAUUCUAGUUGUACCAGUAAUAAUUUUUGUAGUAUUUAUAAUGAUAAAAAGUAUAAUUAACUUUUUUUCUUUCUAAGUAUCAUAAAGCAUUAACACAAUUGUGGGCUGAAGUAACUCAUCAACUGGCUGAUUUACCACUUAUACCAUUCGAAAUUAGAGAUUAUGCUGCAUUUUUGAAUUAUUCUGCAAAAAUAUUAAAAAAGCAGUUAGUGAAUUUAAAAAUCAUUCAGCAUGAUGAUUUAGAUGCAGUUGUUAACCUCUUUCAAAAAGAAGUUAAUAAAUUUUAUCAAAACAAGAGAAAAAUCAACAUUUCAAAUUUUUAUGCUGUUCGUGCCUUCAAUGAUAAACUUUUGUUGCUUGAAAAAGCUUUUAUUAAAACAGAAAAUUUACCAGAUAAUUAUUUCAGGUAAAAUUAUAUAUUAAAUAAU